rnacentral:rRNA from 1 species
UUAGUCAAUGCUCGCAAGAGUGAACUAGCUAACUGAAAUCAAUGGUGUGUCAUCAUUGAUAAUGUAAGGGAGAAAUAAAGAUGUUACCUUACUAUUAGUGUCGUCCAAAUACUCGUGCCAGAAGACUCGGUAAGGCGAGAGACGCAAACGUUAUUCGUCUUGAUCAGGCGUAAAGGGUUUGUAGGCUGCUUUAAGAAUCUAUUUAAAGAAUAGAUCAAUUAAAGCUAGAAUCAAGAAGAGGUUAUAUUAUAUAAUACUUAGAGUAAGAUUGACAUCUGAAAAUACUAAGCGGAAUACUAACGGCGAAGGCUUUUUUCCAAUAAUGAUUGACGCUGAGAAACUAAGGUGAGGAUAGAAAAAAGGAUUAGAGACCCUCGUAUCCCUCACUGUCAACGAUGAAUGGUAGUUACUAAGUAGAAGAAUAUUCAAUAUUCUAUAUUACCCUUUAUUAAUUACUUUAAUAUAUUUUUAUAAAGAAGUUGAGUUAAUAAUUAGGAUUAAUAUAAUAAGAGUUAGAGACGAUGUUACCACGUAACCAUUCCGCCUUGUGAGUACGACUGCAAAGUUGAAAACAAAAAAAUUAGUCGGUUUCGGAGCAAAACGAAGUGAAGCAUGUUAUUU